GAUGAAGAACGUAGCGAAAUGCGAUAAGUAGUGUGAAUUGCAGAAUUCAGUGAAUCAUCGAAUCUUUGAACGCACCUUGCACCCUUUGGAAUUUUCCAAAGGGUAUGCUCGUUUGAGUGUCAUUGUACUCUCACACUCUCCGAUCCUUUGGAUAUGGGGAGCGGUGGACUUGGGUGCUUGCUGCUUCCUUGUGGCUCACCUGAAAUGCGUCAGUGCAUCUCUUGAUUGGACAUAGUACGGCGUGAUAAGUGUCUUCGCCGGCACCUCAUAAGAGGGUGGCCGAUCGGGAGCUCUGUGCUUUCAAACCGUCUUCGGACAAUCCCUGACAACUUGACCUCAAAUCGAGUAGGACUACCCGCUGAACUUAAGCAUAUCAAUAAGCGGAGGA
rnacentral:misc_RNA from 1 species